GGAAGGAUCAUUACUGAAUUGUCAACACGAGUUGUUGCUGGUCCUCAAAUGAGGGCAUGUGCACGCUCUGUUUGCACAUCCACUCACACCUGUGCACCUUCUGUGGUUCUGUGGCCUGGGGGACUCUGUCCUCCUGCUGUGGUUCUGCAUCUUUACACACACACACGCUGUAAUAAAGUCUUAUGGAAUGUAUGCCGCGUUUAACGCAAUAUAAUACAACUUUCAGCAACGGAUCUCUUGGCUCUCGCAUCGAUGAAGAACGCAGCGAAAUGCGAUAAGUAAUGUGAAUUGCAGAAUUCAGUGAAUCAUCGAAUCUUUGAACGCACCUUGCGCCCUUUGGCUAUUCCGAUGGGCAUGCCUGUUUGAGUAUCAUGAACACCUCAACUCUCAUGGUUUGCCAUGAUGAGCUUGGACUUUGGGGGUCUUGCUGGCCUAUUGUCAGCUCCUCUAAAAUGAAUCAGCUUACCAGUGUUUGGUGGCAUACACGGGUGUGAUAACUAUCUACGCCUGUGGUUUUGUCUCAGAUAACCUUCAGCGAUGGAGGUUCACUGGAGCUCAUAAAUGUCUCUCCUCAGCGAGGACAGCUCUUUGAAUGUUUGAUCUCAAAUCAGGUAGG
rnacentral:rRNA from 1 species